rnacentral:lncRNA from 10 species
AAUUUAAUCAGGUAAGUGUAAUGGAAUAAAUGCUUGUAAACAAAUUUGUCAUAAUUUAGAAUCUAAGAUUAUAUUAAAUAUUAAUUAAAUGUAUAAUUUCCAAUUUAAACAUUAUAGGAAAACAUUUUAAAAAGUGUUGUUAUUAAAGGUAAAUAUUUUUUGUCUAAUUCAAAGGUUUUUUUUUUUUUUUUUUGAGGCAGAGUCUCGCUCUGUCACCCAGGCUGGAGUGCAGUGGCACAAUCUCGGCUCACUGCAAGCUCUGCCUCCUGGGUUCAUGCCAUUCUCCCGCCUCAGCCUCCCAAGUAGCUGGGACUACAGGCGCCCGCCACCACACCCGGCUAAUUUUUUGUAUUUUUAGUAGAGACAGGGUUUCACCAUUCACAGGAUGGUCUCGAUCUCCU